GCAGCACUGUGUGCACAGUUUCCUGUCUGUGUCUGGUGGUAGGGUCUGUGUGUGUUUUGCACAUAGACUGUACUGCUCACACAAAACCUGGGGCCAAAGAUGAACCUGAGAUCAUAGUACUGGUUUAGUGAUAUCUGCCCACUGACCAGCCUCCACACUCUCAAACAUCU
ensembl:snoRNA